GGAGUUGUGGCUCAGUGGUAGAGUACUUGCCUAGCAUGUGAGAGGCCCUAGGUUUGAUUCUCAGCACCA
rnacentral:tRNA from 1 species